AACGAACGCUGGCGGCAUGCCUAACACAUGCAAGUCGAACGAGACCUUCGGGUCUAGUGGCGCACGGGUGCGUAACGCGUGGGAACAUGCCCUUAGGGUCGGAAUAACUCCCCGAAAGGGGUGCUAAUACCGGAUAAUGUCUUCGGACCAAAGAUUUUUCGCAUUUGGAUGGGCCCGCGUUGGAUUAGCUAUUGGGGAGGGUAAAAGCCUACCAAGGGGUCGAUACAUAACUGGUUUGAGAGGAUGAUCAGCCACACUGGGACUGAGACACGGCCCAGACUCUUACGCGAGGCAGCAGUGGGGAAUAUUGGACCAUGGGCGAAAGCCUGAUCCAGCAAUGCCGCGUGAGUGAUGAAGGCCUUAGGGUUGUAAAGCUCUUUUAACCGGGAUGAUAAUGACAGUACCGGGAGAAUAAGCUCCGGCUAACUCCGUG
rnacentral:rRNA from 1 species